GGGAUCCUACGGGGGGCAGCAGUAGGGAAUUUUCGUCAAUGGGCGCAAGCCUGAACGAGCAAUGCCGCGUGAACGAGGAAGGUCUUCGGAUCGUAAAGUUCUGUUGAAGGGGAAAAAGAGCGGAGAGAGGAAAUGGUCUCCGAUUGAUAUUACCCUUCGAGGAAGUCACGGCUAACUACGUGCCAGCAGCCGCGGUAAUACGUAGGUGGCGAGCGUUAUCCGGAAUGAUUGGGCGUAAAGUGUGCGUAGGCGGCCUGUUAAGCCUGGAGGGAAAGGUACCGGCUCAA
rnacentral:rRNA from 1 species